rnacentral:rRNA from 1 species
UUAUUAUGAGAGUUUGAUCCUGGCUCAGGACGAACGCUGGCGGCGUGCCUAAUACAUGCAAGUCGAACGCUUCUUUCCUCCCGAGUGCUUGCACUCAAUUGGAAAGAGGAGUGGCGGACGGGUGAGUAACACGUGGGUAACCUACCCAUCAGAGGGGGAUAACACUUGGAAACAGGUGCUAAUACCGCAUAACAGUUUAUGCCGCAUGGCAUAAGAGUGAAAGGCGCUUUCGGGUGUCGCUGAUGGAUGGACCCGCGGUGCAUUAGCUAGUUGGUGAGGUAACGGCUCACCAAGGCCACGAUGCAUAGCCGACCUGAGAGGGUGAUCGGCCACACUGGGACUGAGACACGGCCCAGACUCCUACGGGAGGCAGCAGUAGGGAAUCUUCGGCAAUGGACGAAAGUCUGACCGAGCAACGCCGCG